GAAAAUUCAGACGAUAUUCAAUCUAGUCAGAAACAAAAAACAAAAAAUCCUCUUUCUAUGGCUGAAGUCGCCAGUCGAGAAACCAAAGACGAAAUCUGCUCUUGCCCUUGCUGUUAAAACUGGAUCAGUUGUGCGCAGGAUGAUCACCGUGGAGUUGCUCACAUAGUUGAGCAUCUUGCUUUCAGUGCAACAAAGAAAUACAAAAAUCAUGAUAUUGUUUAGUUUCUAAAAAGUGUUGCGGCAGAAUUUGGUGCGUGUCAAAAUGCUACAACGUCAGCAGAUGAGACGGUAGAUGAAUUGCUUGUGCCUGUCGACAAGCCUGAACUAUUUUCAGAAGCUGUAUCAGUCCUAGCAGAGUUUAGCUCCGGGGUAUUGAUAAUUCGUGUUCAUUGAUUUCUGAUCUACCAGUCUAAAAUGCAGAUUAUUGUGAACUUCAAUGUUUACCUGUUUCUUAGUCUAUGCAACAUAGGUUCGAGUUUCAGCAGAAGAUUUCCCAUAGUAGACACACAUUAAUUGAAAUGGGUAUGCAUGCUGAACAAAGAAGCAUCUCUCCAUGGGAUGAUGAACACAUCCCGGAAGAGAUUGUCAGCACAAGGACAGAUCCAGGGUUCUGUUCGCUGGAUUCAUUUUCUUAUAUUGUGGCAUAUUCACUGUUGAAGACCUUGAAUGCGUUGGGUUAUGACCUUGUUUCCGGUGGUACUGAGAACUAUCUAUCUAGUCUUGAUCAAUCUGAAAAACAAGGGUAUCAAUGGCUCCAGAGUUGAGAAAGUAAUGGAGUUGGUGCUGCUAACAAGAACUCUGUUGUGUCUGCCAUGGUUCCUGGUGGCAUUCGAAUGGGAACUGCUGUUCUCACAUCAAGGAGAUUCCUUGAGGAAGAUUUUGCUAAAAGCAGAAUUCUUCGAUGCUGCUGUGAAAUUGGCCUUGAAAGCCAAAGCUGAAUGCAAAAAAGGUUCCUAAUUGUACCUUAAUGUCUUCGAUGUGUGCUUCUAUAUGUUGAGAGCUUUCCAAAUUAGAAAUUGUUCACUCUGAAAUAGGAUAUUUGUGGAAACUGUGAAAAUCGAUCAGUACCCCAGGGAACAUGGUUGAUGUUGAAUAUAGUAAAUGCUGUGAUGACUAAAUGAAAGACUGAGGCUCUGCUAAUGUGAGCUUGAUAA